GGAAGGAUCAUUUAAGAAAACUUGAAUGUUGAAUUGUGGUUGUAUUGGUUGACUUUAUUGUUUUCCAUCCCGCUCUUCUUCAUUUAAAUAUUUCAUUAAUACACCGACAAUUUUGUUGUCGUCUGUUUUGGGGAUUAUAGUUUUUUUUUUCCAUCUCUUGCUUUUUUUUUUUGUUUUGCCUUGCUCUCUCUUUGCUUGCUUGUUUGAUUUUUCGGUGAUGGGUAACAUUAUCGAAUAUUGAUGAAUUUUGCUUGUGUUGAAUUUAUGGGAGUUUGGAUAUUUUGGGUUCCCCGAACGAGGUCUAAACACCUUGUUUAUAACCAAAAAAAAAUAGAUGUUUUUAGAAUCCGAGUUAUGUAAGUGAUUGUUUGUUUCCGAAUGGAAAAAACAUUUGUAACAACUUUCAGCAAUGGGAUCUCUUGGCUCUCGCAUCGAUGAAGAACGUAGCAAAUUGCGAUAUUUAUUGUGAACUGCAGAAUUAGUGAAUCAUCGAGUCUUUGAACGCAUCUUGCGCCCUGGGGCUAUUCCCCUGGGCAUGCCUGUUUGAGGGUUAUAAAAACACAUCAUACCCCAAUAUUGGGAAACAUUAUUGAGUCGGUUUAUGGUGGUGGUGGUUGCUCCCCCUCGUCGGGGGGCUCUACUGAAACACAAGUGGCCUGCGACUUAUUUGUAAGAGUCUAGGAUAUGAGAUAAAAUGACGUUAUAAUUGAUUAUUCGUCGUUUGACUCUGUUCCACAUCUUUAAUUAGAUGCUCGUUCGAAUAUCGUAAACACUAAGAAAGCACCCAUAUUUUAUAAUUUUUAACCUCAAAUCAGGUAGGACUACCCGCUGAACUUAAGCAUAUCAAUAAGCGGAGGAAAAGAAAAUAACAAUGAUUCCCCUAGUAACGGCGAGUGAAGUGGGAAAAGCUCAAAUUUAAAAUCUGGCAGCUUUGCUGUCCGAGUUGUAAUCUAGAGACAUAUUGUCAGUGUUGGUACCACAUAGAAGUCUGCUUUCAAGCAGCAUCAUAGAGGGUGACAAUCCCGUAUGAUGUGGGUUUAUCGAUGCAUAUUGGCAAGUGUUCAAAGAGUCGAGUUGUUUGGGAAUGCAGCUCUAAAUGGGUGGUAAAUUCCAUCUAAAGCUAAAUAUUGGCGAGAGACCGAUAGCGAACAAGUACCGUGAGGGAAAGAUGAAAAGCACUUUGGAAUGAGAGUGAAACAGUACGUGAAAUUGCUGAGAGGGAAACGAUUGAGGUUAGACGUGCUGUGUGGGAUUCAGCGAGUCAAUAGAUUUGCUUAUUUUCUACUCUGGCAGGCUAGCAUCAGUUUUGUGGAUUCAUAAGGGUUUAGGAAAUGUGGCAGCUUCGGCUGUGUUAUAGUCCUAGACUGGAUUGGAUCGCAUGGGACUGAGGACUGCAGUGUGCCGCAAGGCGAGUCCCCCGGGACUGAUACACUAAGGAUGCUGGCAUAAUGGCCUUAAACGACCCGUCUUGAAACACGGACCAAGGAGUCUAACAUGCUUGCGAGUAUUUGGGUGUCAAGCCCUUGUGCGCAAUGAAAGUGAAUGUAGGUGGGAUCCUCACGGUGCACCAUCGACCGAUCCUGAGUCUCUGACGACGGAUUUGAGUAUGAGCAAGUAUGUCGGGACCCGAAAGAUGGUGAACUAUGCCUGAAUAGGGUGAAGCCAGAGGAAACUCUGGUGGAGGCUCGUAGCGGUUCUGACGUGCAAAUCGAUCGUCAAAUUUGGGUAUAGGGGCGAAAGACUAAUCGAACCAUCUAGUAGCUGGUUCCUGC
rnacentral:misc_RNA from 1 species